CAUCACUGGUGUUCGGGUUGUCAUGCCAAUGGCACUGCCCGGUAGCUAAAUGCGGAAGAGAUAAGUGCUGAAAGCAUCUAAGCACGAAACUUGCCCCGAGAUGAGUUCUCCCUGACUCCUUGAGAGUCCUGAAGGAACGUUGAAGACGACGACGUUGAUAGGCCGGGUGUGUAAGCGCAGCGAUGCGUUGAGCUAACCGGUACUAAUGAACCGUGAGGCUUAACCUUACAACGCCGAAGCUGUU
rnacentral:rRNA from 1 species